rnacentral:rRNA from 1 species
GGUUAAGUUAACAAGGGCGCAUGGUGAAUGCCUUGGCACUAGGAGCCGAUGAAGGACGGGACUAACACCGAUAUGCUUCGGGGAGCUGUACGUAAGCUAUGAUCCGGAGAUUUCCGAAUGGGGCAACCCAGCAGUUUURCCAUACUCGUCAGUUUACCAGCCAAAUCAAUGUUGAUAGUCGCAAGUUGCUGGUUAACGUAGAAAUUACUUAGUGGUUGGCCGGUGGGCUGGGUCACUGAGAUGACUUGAGCCACAUU